rnacentral:rRNA from 1 species
CCUACGGGUGGCUGCAGUGGGGAAUAUUGCACAAUGGGCGGAACUCUGAUGCAGCGACGCCGCGUGCAUGAAGGAGUACUUCGGUACUGAAAGCCCUAUCAGCAGGGAAGUAAAUGACGGUACCUGACUAAGAAGCCCCGGCUAACUACGUGCCAGCAGCCGCGGUAAUACGUAGGGGGCAAGCGUUAUCCGGAUUUACUGGGUGUAAAGGGAGCGUAGACGGGAGUGCAAGGCCGGAGUGAAAGCCCGGGGCUCAAGCGUGGGACUGCAGUGGAAACUGUAGAGCUGGAGUGUGGGAGGGGAAGGCGGAAGUCAUGGUGUAGCGGUGAAAUGCGUAGAUAUCAGGAGGAACACCGGUGGCGAAGGCGAGCUGCUGGAGCGUAACUGACGUUGAGGCUCGAAAGCGUGGGUAUCAAACAGGAUUAGAUACCCUGGUAGUC